rnacentral:misc_RNA from 1 species
AAGAUAACCAAAAAUGGAGAACAAGCCUUCUUCUUUCCUUAUCAUUUGCAGCUUCCUCUUGUUUCUGGUCCUCCACUCCGUCCCCCAAGUCCUUGCUGCAAGAAAAUUAUUGGAUAUUUUCCCAAAUGGCUAUUUUCCUCCUGGGACAGCCCAAGUGCCACCUCCAACCCCAGAAACUAAGGUGAACUAUAAUAGCGAGACAAAAAAUGGCAGUCAUGCUCAAGUUGUUUCUGUUAAUGGGAAAACUAGGUCUGAAAGUGGCACGGUUAAUGGUAAGAAUGGACACCCGGUAGUCCAAGCAAAUACUCAUAAGGGGUAUGAAGCUGGUACAAUUAAAGGCUUCGAUGGCAAACCAAUCAUUCAAGGCAAAAAUACUACCGAUUAUCAAACUGCAAUAAUUAAUGGCAGCGAUGGAAAGCCUAAGUUUGAAGUACACAGAUAUAAUAAUGGCACGGCAAUUAUUUCUGUUUUAGGCAGCGAUGGAAAGCCAAUCUACCAGAUAAAUUCUUUGCCUCCGCCAGGGGGCAUAGGGAACUCGUUCUUGCCGCCACCUGCUAAUUCUUACAAUCCAUUUCCCCCUCCACAGAUAUAAGGAAGAAGUACCUAUAUUGUAUAUGUGUGGUUGUUCUGCUGC